UUAGGUCUAAGCAUGCGAUCAAUACUGACUAAGAAAAGCCGGCCCAACAUUGGAAGAUAAGUAUAAAUCUACGUUGAAUGAAAUGUUGCAGUUUCAGUUGAUCGUCCGGGGACAACACAUAACAGACAGAGGAAAACGCCGUGCACAGUGUGUUCUAAAAAGUCUACGAAGUCAUAGCGUCUCUUUAUCUGACAAGAACAAGAAUUCAUGUCGAUCGCCGCACGCACUUGCCCGAAACCGUAGCCGUAGAUGGCGUCACAGCCGCACCGGCACCGCUGUGGUUGUGGUGGCGGCACUUCUCAUUUCGACCACCGCCUGGCUCUCUCUCGUAUUCUCCGGCGCCACCGUCCGUUGCUGGCACCGUUUUAGGAAUUGGGAAGGCAGCCCCCGGACACUAUCCUGGAAGAAGCGACCUUCCACCACCACUACCAAAUCGUUUGAUCGCCGCCUACCUAUUGUGCCACCGACCAGUCAGUUCUUGUCCCGUCGUCCUUCAUUCCAAUCGGGCCGCAAUCGCAGCCUUUCGGAGGAGAAGCAUAAGGGAAAUGAACUGUCACUGAAGCACAUCAUGUUUGGCAUAGCGGGAUCCUCGCAGCUAUGGGAACGGCGCAAGGAGUUCGUGAGGCUGUGGUGGCGACCAAACGACAUGAGGGGCUACGUCUGGCUUGAAGAGCACGUGGCUAAACUGGAUUGGGACGAUUCCUUACCCCCUAUCAUGAUUUCCGAGGACACCUCCCGCUUCCGGUACACCAAUCCUACAGGUCACCCUUCCGGUCUCCGGAUCUCCCGUAUUAUCUCCGAGAGUCUUCGCCUGGGAUUGUCCGAUGUUCGGUGGUUCGUUCUGGGCGACGAUGAUACCAUUUUCAAUGCGGACAAUCUGGUUACUGUUCUCGGCAAGUAUGACUCCUCUGAGAUGGUCUACAUCGGUGCUCCUUCUGAAAGCCACUCUGCCAACACCUAUUUCAGUCACUCUAUGGCCUAUGGAGGUGGGGGAAUUGCCAUAAGUUAUCCACUGGCCGAGGCUCUUUCCAACAUUUUGGAUGACUGUCUCGAGAGAUAUCAUAAACUCUAUGGAAGUGAUGAUCGGCUCCACGCCUGUAUUUCUGAGCUCGGCAUUCCUUUGUCCAGAGAACAAGGGUUCCACCAGUGGGAUAUUAGAGGUAAUGCACAUGGUCUUCUGUCCUCUCAUCCGAUUGCACCCUUUGUAUCCAUUCAUCAUGUUGAAGCUGUCGAUCCUUUUUAUCCUGGCAUGAGCUCUUUGGAUAGCUUGAAACUCUUCACCAAAGCCAUGACUGCUGACCCCUUAAGCUUUUUGCAGCGAUCAAUCUGUUAUGACCAUGCAUACCACCUAACUUUUUCUGUCUCACUUGGUUAUGUCAUUCAAGUGUUUCCAAACACUGUUCUUCCCCGAAUACUUGAGCGCUCAGAAAACACCUACUCUGCUUGGAAUGGGAUUAGACAUGGGCAUGAAUUUGAUUUGGACACCAGGGAUCCUCACAAACCUAUUUGUAAAAGGCCCAUACUCUUUUUCUUAAAAGAUAUAGCUAGAGAAGGCAACACUACGCUUGGUUCAUAUGUGAGGGCCAGAAUGAAAGAUGAUUUGAAAAGAAAAGUUUUCUGCUUUCCACGCUCUCCUCCUCUGCCUUAUGUGGAAAAUAUUCAGGUGUUGGGGUAUCCUGCAACAAAGAAUUGGCAUUUGGUUCCACGACGUCUUUGUUGCAAACUGAAUCGAUCAAGUGAUGAACAACUUACAAUAUCAGUUGGGCAGUGUGGGAUGGGAUCUUUGGGUUCUUUUAUUGAUUCUGUUUGAAUGUGGGUGGCUGGUGGCUUUCAUUUUACUUUCUAUUCUUAUCUUGGAGAUGAAUAUGCAGUUGAAGAAGGGCCUUCACAGUAUACUCCUUUAAAUUAUUUGGCAUCAUUGAUUUGACUUCUUGGAAUGGCUGUUCAUCGACUGACAUCAGGCAUUUUGAAAACCAUGCUAACAGAUUGCAGAUAUUAUAGUCCUUUAUUGUACACAGUUGAGUUAAGAUGAGCUUGUGAACCUUCACCGCAUGGAUUAAAUUCUUUGCCUCCCUUUUUGUUCAGAAGUUGGUGUUGAUCCAGGAUCACCUUAUUCCGUUGCAUUGCUGACGUUUGAAGUUUCUGAACUGUGAUCAUGUAAAUCUUCCAAGUUCCAGCGGUAUUGACCAGAUGUACAAUGCAACUGCACUGUUAUUUUGGUGAGAUUGAGACAUCCACUACUAUUAUGACGUGAAGCAAAAUUUUCAAAGUUGUGAUCAUCAUUCCCUUCGGAAUCUUGUGAUUUUCCUGCUCAGGAAAAUGAAAAUCUCCUCUUUAUAUAUCAUUCCUCUGCUUGUCCUGUAGCUGAAGAUUUUGCAGUAAGGUGAAAAAGGAGCUCAACUGUUGGCGUAGAGGUCUGUAGGCUGAAAUCUACGGAUUCGAAAACACUUCAUUUCGUAGCCAAACGUCCAUAGAAUUAAUCUUUAAUCUUAUGCUGUUAUAAUUCAGGUUAUCGAUUGAAGCGAUUU